GACGAACGCUGGCGGCGUGCUUAACACAUGCAAGUCGAACGGAAAGGCCCUGCUUUUGUGGGGUGCUCGAGUGGCGAACGGGUGAGUAACACGUGAGUAACCUGCCCUUGACUUUGGGAUAACUUCAGGAAACUGGGGCUAAUACCGGAUAGGAGCUCCUGCUGCAUGGUGGGGGUUGGAAAGUUUCGGCGGUUGGGGAUGGACUCGCAGCUUAUCAGCUUGUUGGUGAGGUAGUGGCUUACCAAGGCUUUGACGGGUAGCCGGCCUGAGAGGGUGACCGGCCACAUUGGGACUGAGAUACGGCCCAGACUCCUACGGGAGGCAGCAGUGGGGAAUAUUGCACAAUGGGCGGAAGCCUGAGGCAGCAACGCCGCGUGCGGGAUGACGGCCCUCGGGUUGUAAACCGCUUUCGCCUGUGACGAAGCGUGAGUGACGGUAAUGGGUAAAGAAGCACCGGCUAACUACGUG
rnacentral:rRNA from 1 species